GAUGAACGCUAGCGACAGGCUUAACACAUGCAAGUCGAGGGGCAGCACGGUGUAGCAAUACACGGGUGGCGACCGGCGCACGGGUGAGUAACGCGUAUGCAACUUGCCUAUCAGAGGGGGAUAACCCGUCGAAAGACGGACUAAUACCGCAUGAAACAGGGACCCCGCAUGGGGAUAUUUGUUAAAGAUUCAUCGCUGAUAGAUAGGCAUGCGUUCCAUUAGGUAGUUGGCGGGGCGACGGCCCACCAAGCCGACGAUGGAUAGGGGUUCUGAGAGGAAGGUCCCCCACACUGGUACUGAGACACGGACCAGACUCCUACGGGAGGCAGCAGUGAGGAAUAUUGGUCAAUGGGCGGUAGCCUGAACCAGCCAAGUCGCGUGAGGGAUGACGGCCCUACGGGUUGUAAAACCUCUUUUUACAAGGGAAUAAAGAUGGGGUCGUGACCCCAGUUGCAUGUACCUUGUGAAUAAGCAUCGGCUAACUCCGUG
rnacentral:rRNA from 1 species